rnacentral:rRNA from 1 species
GACGAACGCUGGCGGCGUGCCUAAUACAUGCAAGUCGAACGCAGUGGGGACGGGUGAGUAACACGUGGGUAACCUCCCAUCAGAGGGGAUAACACUUGGAAACAGGUGCUAAACUGAUACUGAUGGAUGGACCCGCGGUGCGUUAGCCAGCUGGUGAGGUAACGGCUCACCAAGGCCACGAUGCAUAGCCGACCGGAGGGGGGGAUCGGCCACACUGGGACUGAGACACGGCCCAGACUCCUACGGUAGGCAGCAGUAGGGAAGUUUCGGCAAUGGACGAAAGUCUGACCGAGCAACGCCGCGUGAGUGAAGAAGGUUUUCGGAUCGUAAAACUCUGUUGUUAGGGAAGCGUUAUCUAACCAGAAAGCCACGGCUAACUACGUGCCAGCAGCCGCGGUAAUUC